UCAGCGAUCAGACUGUUAUCACGCUGAGUAGAACCAGUUCCACAUGAGGAUCAGCUAAUGUUUUUAAGGCCAGCCGUCCCAAGUGAAGGGACACGGCAAAGCCCAACAACCAAACUAAGGACAGACAAAAAUGCCAUCCAAGCUUGAGAAAUUUCACGACACUCGAACAGGCGUGCUCCCCGGAAUACCAGGGAGCGCAA
rnacentral:misc_RNA from 1 species